UCCUACGGGAGGCAGCAGUAGGGAAUCUUCCGCAAUGGACGAAAGUCUGACGGAGCAACGCCGCGUGAGUGAUGAAGGCUUUCGGGUCGUAAAACUCUGUUGUUAGGGAAGAACAAGUGCUAGUUGAAUAAGCUGGCACCUUGACGGUACCUAACCAGAAAGCCACGGCUAACUACGUGCCAGCAGCCGCGGUAAUACGUAGGUGGCAAGCGUUAUCCGGAAUUAUUGGGCGUAAAGCGCGCGCAGGUGGUUUCUUAAGUCUGAUGUGAAAGCCCACGGCUCAACCGUGGAGGGUCAUUGGAAACUGGGAGACUUGAGUGCAGAAGAGGAAAGUGGAAUUCCAUGUGUAGCGGUGAAGUGCGUAGAGAUAUGGAGGAACACCAGUGGCGAAGGCGACUUUCUGGUCUGUAACUGACACUGAGGCGCGAAAGCGUGGGGAGCAAACAGGAUUAGAUACCCUGGUUGUCCACGCCGUAAACGAUGAGUGCUAAGUGUUAGAGGGUUUCCGCCCUUUAGUGCUGAAGUUAACGCAUUAAGCACUCCGCCUGGGGAGUACGGCCGCAAGGCUGAAACUCAAAGGAA
rnacentral:rRNA from 1 species